CAAUGUUUGUUAUUUAGUAAGCAUUUUUGUAUGAAAGUUUAUAAUUGAAACAUUUUGUGAGUUAUGAAUUGUAAAAUGCAUUUUAUUUCAAGAGAUGGUAGACCUGAGACUAUUUAAAUUGUUUGUCAUGUUUAAAUUAUCUUAUCUUGUUUAAAAUGAAAAACAUGAAUAGGUUUUAAUUUUCAAAGCAGCACAAAAUAUGUUGUCUUUUAAUCUUUUAUCCUAAGAUUUUGUCAUUUCAAUGUAGAAUCUGGAAGUUGAAGCAUAAUAGUAAACUGUUAUUUACACCUUUUAAAUGGUCACUGUUAUUGCAAAGAUAGUUGCAUGAACAAUAUUACUUUAUGGUAUAACAUGUACUUUUGUGUUUAAACACUAGCACUAAAAGAUAGCAGCUGAAACCUUUAGACCUUCAAACAUAUUAUGUGUGACAAAUAAGAUAUAUUAAAAAAAAAAAAUAGAUUUAUUACAUACUUGAUUUUAAAAGUAUGUAAACAGGUUGUAAUAUCAAUUUUUUAAAUUUUAGAGAAUAUAUUAAAACAAGAAUGUGUCCAUGGAUGCCCCACUCGCACUAUCAUUUUACAUGUUCACUGGACCAUGAAAUUGGGGUCAAUACUUUAAUUUGGCAUUAAAAUUAGAAAGAUCAUAUCAUAGUUAACAUGUGUACUAAGUUUCAAGUUGAUUGGACUUCAACUUCAUCAAAAACUACCUUGACCAAAAACUUUAACCUGAGCUUCACACUAUCUUCUUCUUUGUUCAGUGGACCAUGAAUUUGGGGUCAAUACUUUAAUUUGACAUUAAAAUUAGAAAGAUCAUAUCAUAGGGAACAUGUGUACUAAGUUUCAAAUUGAUUGGACUUCAACUUCAUCAAAAACUACCUCGACCAAAAACUUUAACCUGAAGCGGGACGAACGGACGAACGGAGGCACAGACCAGAAAACAUAAUGCCCCUCUACUAUUGUAGGUGGGGCAUAAUUAGGAGCUGUGGUAUGAUUUCCAAUAUAUCCACCAGAGUUCAAAUAAAGUAGAGGUGACUUAGAUGUAGGACCUUGAGGGCUGAUAUUAAUAAGUUAGUUUGUAGCUUAUAGCUUUUUGGGCUUCACUGACUUUGAUUAAUGUUUAAAGCACCAAAUGAUGUCCUGCCUUGGAACAUUGCAUAAUAUGAUGUAACAUGAUAUAGUUAUUGGUGCUAGUUUCAUUGAAUUUAUAUUCAUAGAUUAAUUGAUAUGGCUAUAAAAUAAUUUUCUGUAGUUCAGCAGGGAAUGGGUAAGCAAUGUCAAUUUUAAAUGUUAUAAAAAAAAUCCAGGAGGUUUGAUUAAAACAUUUAUUUUCUUAGCUGAUAAAGAGUUAUGUUUGCUCUUAGAUUGAAAUGGUGGCUUGAAAUGCUUAAUAUACUUUCUUUCUAACUUUGCUCAGGAUAUAUGUAUACUUAAUUUGAUACACACCAUAAAGUAUCUUUAUCUGUUCUUAUUAUUGUUAUAUUUUAUAGUUUUUUUUUGUUGUUGAAUACAUUUAAGCAACUGUUAUCGUGUUAACACAUACAUAUAGUGUAAUUCAAUUUUCACAGCUGUGUUAGUAACACAUAUUUGCAAGAAUUAUUGUUCUAGAUAUAUUUAGUUUUGGUUCAGUGUUUUCAGUUUACCAUAAAGACAUUUAUUCAUUCCAAAGAUCUAAAAAUCCAAUAUCAAAGAUGCAAAAGUUUUAUUUUAUUCUAAAGUAGCAAUUUCAUUUGGUAUUUAAAUGGAAAUAGAAUAACAGUACUUAUAAAAGUAGACUGUAUUUAGUGUUAUCCUUCGGAAAUUUAAAAAAAAUGGGAAAAAAAAGUUGUAUACAUGUAUGAGUUAGAAUUGAAAUAAAAUUGGACAUUAUAUUUUGUAAUGACUUCAUUAUCAGCUGUCAUACAUUAUAUUUAUAUAACCCCUUCACAUGGACACAUAAACAAUGGCAUUACUUCAAACUGAUAUAACCGUAGUUACAGAUGUAGACUUUACUUAUGUUAUUCUAAAGGUGAUAUAGAAUGGUAUGGUUAGUGUGUUUACUUGGGAUUUAUUUACAUAUAUAUAUUAAUGUUGUAUUGUUAACACUUGAAAUGAAUAAAAUGUUCAAAUAUUACUUAUUUUCAUUACAAUGCCACCAAAAUGACAAGUUGACUGGUUUAAGUCAAAAAUCUAGUUCUUAUAUUAAAAGCAUUUUUAGGACAAAAAUAAUUUGAA
rnacentral:lncRNA from 1 species